UACGGAGGGUGCAAGCGUUAUCCGGAUUCACUGGGUUUAAAGGGUGUGUAGGCGGGCUGUUAAGUCAGUGGUGAAAUCUCCAGGCUCAACCUGGAAACUGCCAUUGAUACUAUCAGUCUUGAAUUUUGUUGAGGUAGGCGGAAUAUGUCAUGUAGCGGUGAAAUGCUUAGAUAUGACAUAGAACACCGAUUGCGAAGGCAGCUUACUAAACAAAUAUUGACGCUGAGGCACGAAAGCGUGGGGAUCAAACAGG
rnacentral:rRNA from 1 species